rnacentral:tRNA from 1 species
GUGCUGUAGUGGGGGGUAGCUGCUGGCAUUUCCGAUCAGGAGAUUGAGUUCUCCUAAUCAGCGGGUUCGGGGUUCGAGUCCCUGGCGGCGCACCA